GAGGGUAUAGCUCAGUGGUAGUGUGCAUGGUUUGCAUGCACAAAGUCCUGGGUUCAAUCCCCAGUACCUCCA
rnacentral:tRNA from 1 species